AAAUCCGGGGGGCUGAGCUGAGGCGUGAUGACGAGGAACCACGGUUCCGAAGUGAUUGAUACCAAGCUUCCAGGAAAAGCCACUAAGCUUCAGUCUAGAGUUGACCGUACCGCAAACCGACACAGGUGGGCAGGAUGAAAAUUCUAAGGCGCUUGAGAGAACUCAGGAGAAGGAACUCGGCAAAUUAACACCGUAACUUCGGGAGAAGGUGUGCCCCGGUAGCGUGUAGAGACUUGCUCUCGAAGCGCGAUGGGGUUGCAGUGAAAUGGUGGCUGCGACUGUUUAAUAAAAACACAGCACUCUGCAAACACGAAAGUGGACGUAUAGGGUGUGACGCCUGCCCGGUGCCGGAAGGUUAAGUGAUGGGGUGCAAGCUCUUGAUCGAAGCCCCGGUAAACGGCGGCCGUAACAAUAACGGUCCUAAGGUAGCGAAAUUCCUUGUCGGGUAAGUUCCGACCUGCACGAAUGGCGUAGCGAUGGCCACACUGUCUCCUCCUGGGACUCAGCGAAGUUGAAAUGUUUGUGAAGAUGCAAUCUACCCGCGGCUAGACGGAAAGACCCCAUGAACCUUUACUGUAGCUUUGCAUUGGACUUUGAACCGGUUUGUGUAGGAUAGGUGGGAGACUGUGAAGCCGGGACGCUAGUUUCGGUGGAGUCAACCUUGAAAUACCACCCUGAUUUGUUUGAGGUUCUAACCUUGGUCCGUGAAUCCGGAUCGGGGACCGUGCAUGGUAGGCAGUUUGACUGGGGCGGUCUCCUCCCAAAAGGUAACGGAGGAGUACGAAGGUACGCUUAGGGCGGUCGGACAUCGCCCACAAAGUGCAUUGGCAAAAGCGUGCUUGACUGCGAGACCCACAAGUCGAGCAGGUACGAAAGUAGGUCAUAGUGAUCCGGUGGUUCUGUAUGGAAGGGCCAUCGUUCAACGGAUAAAAGGUACUCUGGGGAUAACAGGCUAAUUCCUCCCAAGAGUUCAUAUCGACGGGGGAGUUUGGCACCUCGAUGUCGGCUCAUCACAUCCUGGGGCUGUAGUCGGUCCCAAGGGUAUGGCUGUUCGCCAUUUAAAGUGGUACGCGAGCUGGGUUUAAAACGUCGUGAGACAGUUUGGUCCCUAUCUGCCGUGGGCGCUGGAAAUUUGAAGGGGGCUGCUCCUAGUACGAGAGGACCGGAGUGGACGAACCUCUGGUGUACCGGUUAUGACGCCAGUCGUAUCGCCGGGUAGCUAAGUUCGGAAGAGAUAAACGCUGAAAGCAUCUAAGCGUGAAACCCGCCUUAAGGUAAGAUUUCCCGGAGUCUUGAACUCCCUGAAGGGUCGUCGAAGACCACGACGUUGAUAGGUCAGGUGUGGAAGCGCAGCAAUGCGUUAAGCUAACUGAU
rnacentral:rRNA from 1 species